rnacentral:rRNA from 1 species
AGCAGCCGCCACGGGAAUACGUAGGUGGCAAGCGUUGUCCGGAAUUAUUGGGCGUAAAGCGCGCGCAGGCGGAUCAGUUAGUCUGUCUUAAAAGUUCGGGGCUUAACCCCGUGAGGGGAUGGAAACUGCUGAUCUAGAGUAUCGGAGAGGAAAGUGGAAUUCCUAGUGUAGCGGUGAAAUGCGUAGAUAUUAGGAAGAACACCAGUGGCGAAGGCGACUUUCUGGACGAAAACUGACGCUGAGGCGCGAAAGCCAGGGGAGCGAACGGGAUUAGAGACCCCAGUAGUCCCUGUCUCUUAUACC